CUAAAAUCUAAACCCACAUCGUUCACCGAUUCAUUUUAAUAUUCUUUAUAUUGCAAAGCAAGAAAUAGGAUGCUUGUCCCUUCGGGGACAUCCGAUAAAAUUGGAACGAUACAGAGAAGAUUAGCAUGGCCCCUGCGCAAGGAUGACACGCAUAAAUCGAGAAAUGGUCCAAAUUUUUUUUUUAAUCCAAAACCUUACUUCUCGAUUGGCAGCUCUGCUUUGUUCGUGUCUGUCUUGUUUUUCUUCAAACACCUGUGCUGCAACAUGUCUCAGCUAUUGCCAACAGCAAGAGAGUAGAGUUCCAUUCGAGAGUAUGACACACUGCAGUAGGAUUUUGUGCUCCAAAAUGGUUUAGCAGCUCUAGUAUGAAUCCACUAUUCAGGACUGAAGCUCUUUGCCAUUCUGCAAAUUUAUGAAGGCUUUGUCUGUGAUUUAUUUAUUUAUUCAUUUAUUUUUAUUUCACCGUGGCUUUGCUUGCAAGAUAUUUUUCAGAUAACUCCUGUGUGGUUUUUGUUGAUAAUUAAUUAUCCAGAAAAUCAAGCACCUGGAGUUUUUUUAUUGGGUGUAAGGGGACUUAGAUGCACAAGGCCAAUUUCUUCUUAGAAGUAACAUGCUUCGUAUAUAAUUUAAUACAAAUACAGAAAGUAUCCUAGUUUAGACUGUUAUGAAUUGAGAUCUAAGCUAAUAGAGCAGCUUUAACUUCAUGUUUAAGCACAGUUGUAAGUACUAGGAGCCUAGCCAACCCAUUGCAAGUUUGAUAAUGUCUUAUUAUUGGGUCUUGACCAAUCUAGGCCUGACAAGUCAGAAUCCUCUUGUGGGCCUGAUGAGAUGAUUGAAGUUCUCUAUAUGCAAAUUUAUUAAUGCUUUGAGUGUCUUUGAUUUUUUUUUUUAUAACCUUUCUGUAGCUUUGUAACAAUGGUUUCUCUCUCUGGUUUCACCUUUUUGCCUUGCAAAAUUUCUACUACGCUCAGCACCGGAUAUUGCACUCAAAAGUUCUAUUGGUUUCAUUUUUUCCUUUAUUAAAUUUUUGCAGUAUUUCAUGCUGCAAUUACGAUUUUGUGCCCGAAAAUGGUUUAGCAGCUUUAAUAUGAAUCCAGGGGAGUAAGGAGCAGUGAGUUGGCGUUUGAUGCCGUGUAACUCGCAGAACUUGCUGAACUCAUUCGAUGUAAACUCGCCUCCUUUGUCUGUUCUAAACGUUUUGAGCUUACAUUCGGACUUGACUUUAAUAUGAGCUUUCAUUUUCUUGAAAGCACUAAAAACCUCAUCUUUUCUUUUGAGCAUUUCAAUCCAUAUAUAACGACUGUAAUCAUCCACGAGCAAGAGAAAAUACUUGUUUUUGCCGCAUGUGGUAGGUGAUGACGGCCCGCACAAGUCACCAUGCACGAGUUCUAGAGAUUUGGUUGCUUGAUACUCUCCUGCUUUCAGGAAACUCGUGCGAUGCUGUUUACUGAUCACACAUUGUUCACAGAUGUGCUUCACUGUUUCUAUCUCCGGUAAACCUUUCACCAUGUUUUCUUGUGCGAGCUUGCGUAAAGCUUGAUAGUUGAGGUGCCCGUAGAGUGCGUGCCAUAAGCAAGGCUUUUCAGACAACCUUGUCAGGUGGCACUUCGAUUUUGCUUGUGUCAUUCUAAUCGUGUAAAGGCGAUUUUCCGCUCUAUGCACCUUGGCUAUCAACUUGUCAUUUGCGUCAUAUUCUCUAAGAAUUUCUCCUUUCACCACCACUUUUGCUCCUGAUUCGUCGAGUUGACCAAGACUUAUAAUAUUGGAUCUUAAUCGAGGAAGAUAGUACACAUUCGUUAGUUCGAAAUGAUCUCGGUUCUUGCACUGAAACACUGAAGUGCCUCGGCCUUCUACCUUGACGACUGAACCAUCACCGAACCCGACAUUCCCUUUCAUUGAUUCAUCGAGAUUGGUUAAGGCUAGCUUGUUACCUGUCUUAUGGUUGCUUGCCCCCGUAUCAUAAGCUCGUCUGUGCCCUAGCUGUUACAUUGAUAGUUUGUUAAUAAGCACGUACCCACGUGCUCUGAAUAUUUUGAAUUGUUCAGUGUUUGUUUCCUUCAACCCGAGUCUUGCGCAAUGUGGCUUCAAGCUCGAAUUAAGUUUCAUUUUUCAGUUUGUAAUGGUUGUUAUAUUGAUUCAAGUAUAAAUAAGAACAAAAGGCCAAUCAAGAUUAUCGAUUAAGUUUGAAAAAUCUGAGCAAAAACCCUAACAUAAAAACAUUGCAGAAACUCAAAGUGCACUGUCUGGCUCACACCCUCGAGAGUUUGUUUUUAGAGUCUACGCGGUUCUCAUAAAGUCUGUCCUUUCAGCCAUUUCCACUUACACUAUGUCAAUUCUUAAGCAUCCCAGGAUUUUUUGUAAAAAGCUAAAUAGCAUUCUCUCAAACUUCUGGUGGGGAAGCGGUGAAGACUCGAGAAAAUGCAUUGGAUUAGUUAGAAAAAAGCUUUCAUUCCUAAAGCUAAAGGCGGCAUGGGUUUCAAGGAUUUCAAUAUUUUUAAUCUCGCUUGUCUUGGGAAAUAAUGUUGGAGACUUAUUCAGAAUCCGACAGCGGUUUGGGCUUGACUCAUCAAAAGUGUUUAUUUUCCAAGUACAGAUCUUUGGCAAGCUUCUCAUUCUAGAGAAGGCUCAGGGUAAACUUGUGAUUUUAAAUACGUUAUUAACUUUCUAAUUAUAUUCCUGAGCCGGCAAGUUUUAAUUGCAACUGUGUGUUGGUUUAUUUGGAAAGAAAGGAACAAGGCAAUCUUUAACCACAUGCCUCCAUAUCCUAUCUUUGUGGCUCGCAAGACCCUUUCUAGCUUUCAAGAGCUAGAGUUUGUAAGAGACAUAAGCCGGUCAAUAGUAUUGUUCAUAAUUCUGGUGUUUCUGUUUGGCAAGCUCCACCUUUUGAGAUGUUAAAGUUCAAUUCUGAUGCUGCUUAGAAAUCUCAUUCUAUGUUUGCUUCUAUUGCUAUUGUGGUUCGGAACUCUUAUGGUAGAAGUUUAUAUGGUAGAAUUUGUAAGGCUGUUGCCGAGUCUCCUGUUGUGGUAGAAGCUUUAGGGGUCCUAGAGGCUAUGAAACUUGCUUUAGAGAUGGGAGCUAAGAAUGUUUU